CCCGUAACAAAUAAACAAAAAAAAGGUGCAAAGUUAAGAACUGAACUCGGGUUGGAAUUUGUAGGGGUGUCAAAAGAAAGGAAAAUAACCAGUUGCGCUAUGUUGGUCCUUCGUACAUAGCUACAACGCGAAAUAUAUAUUAUUUAAGGGGUGUCACCUACUGUCCACAUAGAUCCGCCACUGGGAGCACCUGCCAGACUUCAACUAAGAGAAAAAAAAACUCUCUGAGAUAUCCAUUUCAGGAGAAUAAUUCUACUAAGAAAGAUUGAGAAUAUGGAUUUGAGAGGAGCAAGGCUACCUUUAUAUACUCGCAGAUACACCGCUUUGCUCAAAAGAAACUUGCAUUAAAAUCUAGAUCGUGGUUGAUGGAUUUAAUAAGAGGCUUAACGGGAUAAAUCUGUAAUGGGAGCAUUUAUGUUGAAGAAGACGAAGAUCAAACGUCAAAAUCGAAACCCCAUCUCAAUUUUCUCUAACGCCGGAAAAAAAAGAAGGCGAUGAACCCUAAUUUACAAAACGACAUUGUUUA
rnacentral:lncRNA from 1 species